GACGAACGCUGGCGGCGUGCUUAACACAUGCAAGUCGAACGGAAAGGCCCUGCUUUUGUGGGGUGCUCGAGUGGCGAACGGGUGAGUAACACGUGAGUAACCUGCCCUGGACUUGGGGAUAACUUCAGGAAACUGGGGCUAAUACCGGAUAGGAGCUCCUGCUGCAGGGGGGGGGUUGGAAAGUUUCGGCGGUUUGGGAUGGACUCGCGGCUUAUUAGCUUGUUGGUGGGGUGGUGGCUUACCAGGGCUUCGACGGGUAGCCGGCCUGGGAGGGUGACCGGCCCCAUUGGGCCUGAGAUACGGCCCAGACUCCUACGGGGGGCAGCAGUGGGGACUAUUGCACAAUGGGCGGAAGCCUGAUGCAGCAACGCCGCGUGCGGGAUGACGGCCUUCGGGUUGUAAACCGCUUUCGCCUGUGACGAAGCGUGAGUGACUGUAAUGGGUAAAGAAGCACCGGCUAACUACGU
rnacentral:rRNA from 1 species